rnacentral:lncRNA from 10 species
AUCUCCUCCUUUGUGUUCACCCAUUUGAAAUCAUCUCCAUUCAGGAGAAAACAAGAUGGAACCCAGUGACUGGCCACCAUGGACACAUGCAAGGGAGAAGGAGAAGUCCCCAGUAGGAAAAGGAAUGUGUACAAUGAAAUGUAAUGAUGUAUAAUACAUUGGCUGUUUUUGAAUUCCAACCAUGGAUUUCCCAGCUACUGGCAGUGAAACUGAUCUUUUCUGUGACACGCCUGUCCCCCUUUGUCUUCUGCCAUGAGUGGAAACUUCCUGAGGCCUCACCAGAAGCUGAGCAGAUGCUGGUACCAAACUUGUACAGCCUGUAGAACCACAAGGCAAAUAAAUCUCUUUUUGAAAAUAAUCAUCCAAGAGAAACAGAGGUUGGCCCCCCAAGUAUCCCUGUUACAGUCCAGGAAGGUGAAGUCACUGGAAACUUUUGGAAAGGCAUGCAGCAAGAAGCUCAAAAUCUACAAGCCAGGAAGAGAGCCCUCACCAGAAACGGAAACAGCUGGCACUUUGAUCUUGGACUUCCCAGGCCUCCAGAACGGUGAGAAAUAAGUGUCUGUUGUUUAAGCCUAUAGUCAGCCCAAGCUGACUAA